rnacentral:rRNA from 1 species
GACGAACGCUGGCGGCGUGCUUGACACAUGCAAGUCGAACGGAAAGGCCUGCUUUCCCUUGUGGAUUGCGGGUACUCGAGUGGCGAACGGGUGAGUAACACGUGAGUGAUCUGCCCCCAACUUGGGUAUAAGCCUGGGAAACUGGGUCUAAUUCCCGAUAGGACUGCAGGGUGGUGCCUGUGGUGGAAAACGAUUUUCUAGUGGUUGGGGAUGAGCUCGCGGCCUAUCAGCUUGUUGGUGGGGUAAUGGCCUACCAAGGCGGCGACGGGUAGCCGGCCUGAGAGGGUGGACGGGCACAUUGGGACUGAGAUACGGCCCAGACUCCUACGGGAGGCAGCAGUGGGGAAUAUUGCACGAUGGGCGGAAGCCUGAUGCAGCGACGCCGCGUGGGGGAUGACGGCCUUCGGGUUGUAAACUCCUUUCGACCGCGAGGAAGCCACCUGGUUGGAAGGGUGGUGACGGUAGUGGUAGAAGAAGCACCGGCUAACUACGUG